GACGAACGCUGGCGGCAUGCCUAAUACAUGCAAGUCGAGCGAAUGAUGAAGAAGCUUGCUUCUUCUGAUUUAGCGGCGGACGGGUGAGUAACACGUGGGCAACCUGCCCUGUAGAUUGGGAUAACUCCGGGAAACCGGGGCUAAUACCGAAUAAUCCAUUUCCUCACAUGUGGAAAUGUUAAAAGACGGUUUCGGCUGUCACUACAGGAUGGGCCCGCGGCGCAUAGCUAGUUGGUA
rnacentral:rRNA from 1 species